rnacentral:rRNA from 1 species
CUGACCUCAGAUCAGGCGAGACCACCCGCUGAGUUUAAGCAUAUCACUAAGCGGAGGAAAAGAAACUAACAAGGAUUCCCUUAGUAGCGGCGAGCGAACCGGGAAGAGCC